GAAGCUGCGAAGAUGGCGGAGUAAGGCGUGCCGCUGCAAACUGGCCUCUGGGCCGGGGGCGAGCAGCCCCCGGGAGGCCGAGUGCAUCUGUUGGACCGUGCGAGGAGAAGAAAAAAAAUAUCGGCCAGAGGAGAGGAACUAACCGAACAUUCUUCCUCCCUACCUUAUAGAGGGGAGUGGUCAUCUACACUAAAGCAAAGUGUUAGGCGCGUCCGUGCGAAGAGACCACCAAACAGGCUUUGUGUUCCUUAUCACAGGAAGAAAAUUUUCCUUGACCUUUAGGUGCUUUUAUAUUCAUCUCAAAAACAAAAUUCUGAACUCAGGACUUGGCAAACCACCGCUGAAACUUCACUUCUACACAGAGGCUUUCUUUCCCAGAAACCCAGACCAGAUCCUCAGAUGUAAAGUUUCGUGUGAAAAAAGACAAAACAUUGCUGAGCAGCACUGCUACUGUGAAGAUGAAUAAAGUCUGGUCACAGUG
rnacentral:lncRNA from 1 species